UACGUAGGGGGGCAAGCGUUGUCCGGAUUUACUGGGCGUAAAGAGCGUGUAGGCGGCCAGGUAGGUCUGCUGUGAAAACUCGAGGCUCAACCUCGAGACGUCGGCGGAAACCAUCUGGCUAGAGUCCGGAAGAGGAGAGUGGAAUUCCUGGUGUAGCGGUGAAAUGCGCAGAUAUCAGGAAGAACACCCGUGGCGAAGGCGGCUCUCUGGGACGGUACUGACGCUGAGACGCGAAAGCGUGGGGAGCGAACAGG
rnacentral:rRNA from 1 species